UACGGAGGGUGCAAGCGUUGUUCGGUAUCACUGGGCGUAAAGCGCGUGUAGGCGGCUACUUAAGUCUGGUGUGAAAGCCCUGGGCUCAACUCAGGAAGUGCAUUGGAUACUGGGUAGCUGGAGUACCGGAGAGGAGGGUGGAAUUCCUGGUGUAGCGGUGAAAUGCGUAGAUAUCAGGAGGAACACCGGUGGCGAAGGCGUCCCUCUGGCCGGAUACUGACGCUGAGACGCGAAAGCGUGGGGAGCAAACAGG
rnacentral:rRNA from 1 species